rnacentral:tRNA from 3 species
GGGCGCGUCGUCCAGUUGGGUUAGGACGUCCGCCUGACUCGCGGAAGGUCGCAGGUUCGAAUCCUGCCGCGCCCACCA